GACGAACGCUGGCGGCGUGCUUAACACAUGCAGGUCGAACGAUGAAACCUAGCUUGCUAGGUCGAUUAGUGGCGAACGGGUGAGUAACACGUGACUAACCUGCCCCUUUCUCUGGGAUAACGCUCCGAAAGGAGUGCUAAUACCGGAUACUCACACCGAGGCACAUGCCUUGGUGUGGAAAGUUUUUCGGAAAGGGAUGGAGUCGCGGCCUAUCAGCUUGUUGGUGAGGUAACGGCUCACCAAGGCGACGACGGGUAGCCGGCCUGAGAGGGCGACCGGCCACACUGGGACUGAGACACGGCCCAGACUCCUACGGGAGGCAGCAGUGGGGAAUAUUGCACAAUGGGCGCAAGCCCGAUGCAGCGACGCCGCGUGAGGGAUGAAGGUCUUCGGAUUGUAAACCUCUUUCAGUAGGGACGAAGCGAAAGUGACGGUACCUAAAGAAGAAGCACCGGCUAACUACGUGCCAGCCGCCGCCGUAA
rnacentral:rRNA from 1 species